rnacentral:rRNA from 1 species
UACGGGGGGGGCAAGCGUUGUUCGGAGUUACUGGGCGUAAAGGGCUCGUAGGCGGCCAACUAAGUCAGACGUGAAAUCCCUCGGCUUAACCGGGGAACUGCGUCUGAUACUGGAUGGCUUGAGUUUGGGAGAGGGAUGCGGAAUUCCAGGUGUAGCGGUGAAAUGCGUAGAUAUCUGGAGGAACACCGGUGGCGAAGGCGGCAUCCUGGACCAACACUGACGCUGAGGAGCGAAAGCCAGGGGAGCAAACGGG